rnacentral:rRNA from 1 species
AUUGAACGCUGGCGGCAGGCCUAACACAUGCAAGUCGAACGAGUAGCGGACGGGUGAGUAAUGUCUGGGAAACUGCCUGAUGGAGGGGGAUAACUACUGGCAACGGUAGCUAAUACCGCAUACCAUCGGAUGUGCCCAGAUGGGAUUAGCUAGUAGGUGGGGUAAAGGCUAACCUAGGCGACGAUCCCUAGCUGGUCUGAGAGGAUGACCAGACACACGGGAAAGGAGAAACGGUCGAUACGCCUACGGGAGGCAGCAGUGGGGAAUAUGGGACAAUGGGCGAAAGCCUGAUUCAGCCAUGGCGCGUGUAAGAAGAAGGCCUUCGGGUUGUAAAGUACGUUCAGCGGGGAGGCGUUACACGCAGAAGAAGCACCGGCUAACUCCGUGCCAGCAGCCGCGGUAAUUC